rnacentral:tRNA from 4 species
AAGAACAAUUGAAGGGAUGUGGCGCAGCUUGGUAGCGCGUUUGUUUUGGGUACAAAAUGUCACGGGUUCAAAUCCUGUCAUCCCUA